CCUCCACCUCUCUCCACCUCUCUACAUCUCUCUCUCUCUCUCUCUCUCUAUACCGAAUCGCUGUCCGACUCUGGUAGGUGCGAUUUCCUCUGUGUCUCCCGACGUGAAGCAGCUAGCAAACCCUAAAACGUUCUCUACUUCCCAGAUUCAUCAACCUCUCUCCCUCUUCCUAUGGCUCCCACACGGACGCGGUGCUUUUUAGCUAAAGCGGGCUCUUUUUUUAGCUCCUCGCUGAUCGCAGCGGCCCCGAGUGCCCGUGCGAUGAGUUCGGGUCGUCAGGAGCCGGCAUGAGGUCGAUCUUCUGCUGAAACAAUGGCGUCUUUUCAAUCUCCAGCUGCCCCGCGAAAGAAAGCAGCUGAAAGGCUGUCUCAUAAAACCGAAGUCGUCUAUGUACAUGAAAAUUUCCAUGCUUGUUCAGCAGAAAAUGAUGCAUUUUUCGCAUAAUAACUUCUUGCUGGAGAUUCCAGCAUAAAGUUCGCAUACUUUUUCUGCUUGAAAGUCCGCCAAUCUUCAGAAAGUUUCAUGUACAUAAGCGAGUUUGGCGUCUAGAGUCGCUAACAAUUCCGUAAACCCAAUGUAACAGGGACAUGGAGGGAUUGUGAUUGGACAUCAUCGCAAUGUUGGCUCUUUUGGUGAGAGACAGUGAAUUGGUCCUCUGAAUCACACACUGCAUUUAUCGUUUCGAAGUAAUGGACUCUUAUCAAGCUCUUACUUAAGUGUAAGUCGCAAAUUCUCUUUCUUUGGUGUUUUGCUGGAGAUUAUCAUAAUGAGCUUUCUUCACGGUUUCCUGUUCGGAUUGUCUCAGUCUUUCAUAUAUUAAUGCUGAGAUGACUAUCAUCUGUCCUUUGGAGUUUGCAUGCUGCAAUUUAGUGUUGAUUUUUGAGAGUUGAUUUACUUAACAUCAUCGUUUUCAUUGCAUUUUAAACGAAGGCAAUACGUAAACAUGUUAUUUUCAUGUCAGAAGUGCACAGCUUUUCAUGUCGACGGUGAGGAAAAUGUUUGUGUCUGACAGUAUAGUAAGCUCAGGAGCUUCUUUUUUGGGUUUGCUGAUGCUGAGUGCUAGCAUACUAUGUCCUUAUUCAAAUACUUUUGCAUCGGUUCCCGUUUGCUUAUAGCACAAUGUUUUGGCUGUUUUAUCUAGUGAAUGAAGAUUACUUUCGAUGCUAAGGUGCUGCCAAAUUAAAAUGCCAUGUUUGUUCAUCCUCAUUCAGAUCUGGUGUUAAAAAUUAAGCUUGUGGAUAUGGAGCUUUACUAGUAGCUGUUUUAAGAUGCUCUUAUGACCUUUCAUUCACCAAAGACUCCGAAACAUACAGUUCCUGGAUAUAUCAGCUCUGCCAAAAAAAUAAAAUAAAAAUAAAAAUAAAGGAAAAGUGGUAGAUACAUCCCUUUAAGGAUCUCCAAAAAUAUUAACUACAUAGCAUAACUUAGUAAUUCUCUUAUUCAAUUUAAUUUCACCUAUACAAAAGUCCUCCAUCACAUAUAACUAAGGUUUAUUUAACUGAUCAUUUUCAAAUUUGAGUAUUUUACUUAAUAGUAUGUGGUAUACCACUUGUCGGUUGCAGAAGCAUGACUUUGUAAUGCCCUUGCCACAUCCUUGGAUUGAUAUGAACUGAGUAAUAUCCGCGUGGGGUUGAUUUGUCCUUUUUGCUAGUGCAACUGUAAUCUGCUGCAGUUAUGAUGAAAAAGUGAUUUCUGUUUGAUUGAAGUUAACUGAGACAACCACUUUUGGUGCGGAGGAAUGGAAAGGGAACGGAAUGGACAUAGUUGCAAUGUAAAACAGUUCUAUUUAUGUCCCUUCCUCCCAAGAUGUUUUCAUUCCUUCGUACUAAAUGUGGCAUUUUGAGUAAUUAAAGUUGUAUGGAGGAAUACAUACGCCAGGUUCGUAGAUCUUCUUGUUGUCUCAUAAUUUUGUUGCUCUGGUUGGCUAAGCUGGAGAUUGACAGGUAAAUGAGAGUCCUCUCCGAUGUCUAGACCAUUGGUGAGCUGAUUCCUGUCAGUUCCGUUCGCGUCCCUUGUUCCGUAAACCUGGGAAUGCGAAAUUUUUCUCUGAGGCUGAUUAUAAAACUUUUGACCAUAUUGCAUGAUCAUCCAUAAUUAGCUAAAAUUUUAUUUGUUUUUAAAUCAGUACCUUCUUGUACAAUUCCAUGUUUUCUUGGCGAAUAAUGUUUACCUUCUUAUACAACUCCACGUUUUCCUGGUGAAUGACGUUCCCCUGCAAGAAGAGAAGUAAAGUUAUUAUUUCAUCCGAAUAAAGAAAUGAUCUGAUACUGGUAUAUCUGUCCUGGGGUUGACCUUCCUGCUCAGUUCUUGUAUGUCAUCCAUUAACACUUGGUCCUACAAAGGUCAGAUGUUGCACUUGUCAUUCAGAGUACUAUGUGGAAGCACUUAUAAUACAGCAUAUGUGUAUCCUAAAGGCAUUUAGACUUGAACCUUUUUCAUUCGAACACCACGAAGGCUCAUCUCCAAUUGAUUCUCCAGAUUCUGUAGGUCCUUCACACAAAGCCCCGAGAGCUCUUCUCCCAUGAUUUGCCUGUUAUUUGGUUUGUAAUUUCUCAAGGAUAUGAAUUCUGGUGUAGCUUAACUAUGAGAAACAUACGUCUUAUAUCAGCUUACAAUGCAGUUUUCAGCAAGUAGAGGCAAGGCAAGCCUAAAAUUUUCUAUGUUAGCCAAGCAUGGCAGUUUAGGUCUAGGGUGGGCCUUUCUAGGUUACUAGUAUAAAAAAUGGCAGUUGUUUAAAAUCCAUCUGUUUGAAAUUCUCUAUGUCUGCACUUUCAGAAAUAUUAUUAAUUUCAGGAACUUUUCAUCACUGUAACUUAAGUAUGGGGGGAGAUACUACUUCAGAUGGUCAAA